rnacentral:rRNA from 1 species
CUACGGGUGGCACCAGUGGGGAAUAUUGCACAAUGGGGGAAACCCUGAUGCAGCAACGCCGCGUGAGCGAUGAAGGUCUUCGGAUCGUAAAGCUCUGUCUUUAGGGAUGAUAAUGACAGUACCUAAGGAGGAAGCCACGGCUAACUACGUGCCAGCAGCCGCGGUAAUACGUAGGUGGCAAGCGUUAUCCGGAAUUAUUGGGCGUAAAGGGAGCGUAGGCGGAUAUUUAAGUGGGAUGUGAAAUACAUGAGCUCAACUCGUGUGCUGCAUUCCAAACUGGAUGUCUAGAGUGCAGGAGAGGAGAGUGGAAUUCCUAGUGUAGCGGUGAAAUGCGUAGAGAUUAGGAAGAACACCAGUGGCGAAGGCGACUCUCUGGACUGUAACUGACGCUGAGGCUCGAAAGCGUGGGGAGCGAACAGGAUUAGAUACCCUGGUAGUC